ACAGAAACAGCCAUGGUAGAAGUAUCCAUUCUGAAUGGAUGUGUUCCAAAUUGAGCAGGAUUAAAGCCACAUUCACACAGGGUGGAAUGAGCAAAUGAUCCACAAGAAAAAGACAAGACGGAGCAAGGUGAUUGCUCCAUACCACUCCCUUUCCUCAAUCAGCAGCAAACCUGUUCCCCAAAACAGAGCAAAGAGGUAUUCAAUAGAGAGAGAGAAAAUUCCUGUCUGCUUCUUCGACCUGUAACCAUUUUUUUUUCGAGGUGAAAAGACCCAUUUUGCAAAGCUAAAGGAAGGGAGAGUGGGAAGAGGAGAUAAUAGACAAGAUAUCAAAAGACAGGGAGAGCAGAGGAAAAGUAAAGGAUGGGGACACAAAAGCAGAAUUGUGGACAGGUGUGAUUGUUAUUGUUUUGAUAUGUUGCUAGUAUGUUCCCAUUUACUUCCAAAACACAAUUACUGCUAGACAACAAGAUGGUGG
rnacentral:lncRNA from 11 species